CUCAGCCGAUGAAACCAUAUGAGUUUCUGCUCUCAGCCUCUCGUCUCUUUCUUUCAGCCGAUGAACCAGAUCGAGUUUGAUGAAUCAAUUUCGAUUCAGUUUGUUCAUCAUCUAUAAUAGGAUUUUUAGGGCAUCAUAAAUCGUUGUAGGGUUUCAGUCUGUAUUAUGAUUCAUUGAUUUUAGUUUGUUCGUCGGAGUUCGAACUUGGAAGAAAUGAUCUUCACUCUCAGCUAAUCGUGUGAAAGCAUCUGUUCUACUUUGUUUAAUUUAGAUUUCUUUUCAGAUGCAGAUGGGAAUUAAGUUGAUAAGUUGACUGAGAAGCUACAAGGGGUUGGAAUUGCGGCUGGUAGUGCUGAUGGUGUUAUCCUAACUACUUCUAAGAAAAUUUAUCUUUGAAGGAAGACGAAGGGAGUUGAUUACGUCCUCUUUGCUUUAUCUUGUUGGAGCUCUAGUAACAGCAGUUUCACCCAACUUUGCGAUUUUGGUGAUUGGAUGCAUAAUAUAUGGUAUGGGAAUUGGACUGGCAAUGCACCAAUGUACAUUGCUGAGACUGCACCAAGUCAGGUACGAGGACGACUGAUUUCUCUGAAAGAGCUCUUUAUAGUUCUAGGAAUGCUUUUAGGUUAUACAGUUGGCAGUCUGGAAAUUGAUAUAGUUUCUGCAAACCAAUCCAACACCAAUAGUUAUUAUGUCUGUUGCAGGAUGGCGUUAUGUGUAUGCUACUAGUAUUCAUGUAUCUUUGCUUAUGCGAUUCGGAGUGUGGUGGUUGCCCCCAUUACCACGAUGGUUAUUAUGCGCCAUAGAAGGAAAGGGAAAUACAAAGGAGGCAAGAGAAACUGCAAUAUGUUGUUCGCGCCAGAUGAUGGGUGGAGCCAUUGGUGAUUCAGCUCCAGAACAAGUAUAUGAAAUGCUUGAAAGCACUUACCGUUGGUGUUGGAUUGGUUUUGUUCCAGAAGAUCACAGGGCAACCAAGUGUGUUAUCUUUAUCUUCACUUCAGUUUUCAGGUAUGGUGGGAAAUGAACUACAGUUGGAUUGGCAUCAACUUGUGUACAAAAAAAACUUACUGGGACCAAUUAGAAUAAUGGCCUGGAUCAAUGGUUGCAGUUGCAGUUGGAGCUCUUGAUGACUAAAUCAUGGACUUGUUCUUUAUUACAAAACCACUGUUGGUAUGCUUAUGGUCAUGCAGUUGCAGUUACAGAUAGGUUAUUUGAAUGAUGCAUUUUUUGAUCGAAAGGCUGGAGAAUAAAGCAGCGCAAAGUUUUGUAAGUUUAUAUGUAGGAAGUUAGUAUGUUUCUAUGUAUUCCCUUAGAAAUUUAGAACAGUUAACAAAUAAUUGGUACUUAGAAGAAUUUGUGUACUUAACAAAAAAAAAUUGUACUUAGAAGAAUUUGUGUUCUUUUUUGACAUGAAUUGGUUGAAUGUG